rnacentral:ncRNA from 1 species
CUUAUCAAGAGUGGUUGAGGGAACGGCCCGAUGAAACCACGGCAACCUGCAUUGCAAGGUGCCAAAUCCGACGAGUAUGCUGA